GGGGAUUUUUUCAGUGUAAAAGACAUACAAAUAUAGAGAGAAAAAUAUACUGAGACUAAGAUAUUUUUCGAAGGUGAAUCGUUUUUAGUUUUUCUAUUCUUUUAUUUAUUUUUCAUUUAAAAUAAAAAAGAAAAAGAAGGGAAACUUACCUCACCCUCAGGUCUGCUCCAAAAGGGGGUUGAAAACCCAGUUCUCCGGCCACUAGUUG
rnacentral:lncRNA from 1 species